CGAACGGGUGAGUAACACGUGGGCAACCUGCCCAAANAGGGGGAUAANACUUGGAAACAGGUGCUAAUACCGCAUAACCAUAGUUACCGCAUGGUAACUAUGUAAAAGGUGGCUAUGCUACCGCUUUUGGAUGGGCCCGCGACGCAUUAGCUAGUUGGUGGGGUAAAGGCUUACCAAGGCAAUGAUGCGUAGCCGAACUGAGAGGUUGAUCGGCCACAUUGGGACUGAGACACGGCCCAAACUCCUACGGAAGGCAGCAG
rnacentral:rRNA from 1 species